GGACUACCGGGGUAUCUAAUCCUGUUUGCUACCCACGCUUUCGCGUCUCAGUGUCAGGAACGGCCCAGAAGGCCGCCUUCGCCGCCGGUAUUCCUCCUAAUAUCUACGAAUUUCACCUCUACACUAGGAAUUCCACCUUCCUCUACCGUCCUCCAGCUAGUUAGUUUCGACUGCACUUCCUCGGUUGAGCCCAGGGAUUUCACAAUCGACUUAACUAACCACCUACACGCGCUUUACGCCCAAUAAUUCCGAACAACGCUUGCACCCUACGUAUUACCGCGGCUGCUGGCAC
rnacentral:rRNA from 1 species